GUGAGGAAUUUUCCGCAAUGGGCGAAAGCCUGACGGAGCAAUGCCGCGUGAAGGAUGAAGGCCUAUGGGUUGUAAACUUCUUUUCUCAGAAAAGAAUUAUGACGGUAUCUGAGGAAUAAGCAUCGGCUAACUCUGUGCCAGCAGCCGCGGUAAGACAGAGGAUGCAAGCGUUAUUCGGAAUGAUUGGGCGUAAAGCGUCUGUAGGUUGUUUAAAAAGUAUUCUGUCAAAGAUUAGGGCUUAACCCUAGAUAGGCAGAAUAAACUUUUAAGCUAGAGUGUGGUAGAGGCAGAGAGAAUUCCCGGUGGAGCGGUGAAAUGCGUAGAUAUCGGGAGGAACACCAAAGGCGAAGGCACUCUGCUGGGCCAAUACUAACACUGAGAGACGAAAGCGAGGGGAGCAAAUGGGAUUAGAAACCCCGGUAGUCC
rnacentral:rRNA from 1 species